rnacentral:lncRNA from 1 species
AGACGUCUUUUCCCGCGGUUCAGCCAAACUGCUAGAAAUACCGUCUAGAGGCAACAUGUAGUAAUUCAUUUAUCAUCGUUCCAUCACCGCGAGUCCGUCAAGCAGAAUCCGGGAUCGCGGCUAGAGGAAUUAUAAUAAUUAAGAGUGAAUCAUAGAUGAAGAUAUAGUAUAUACCACGUGAUCCCACAGGAGAAACGGGACUCCAUUCUUAGAUCCAUGAUCAUCGUUGGUAUCCAUAGUCAUCCGUCACUAUAUGAUUAUGAUACUGAACUAGGUGGGAAUAAGGAAAGGUUUCCCAGUGAUUGUGAAAUCCUCCUGACGUAAUUUAGUGAAUUUGGGCCACUUUGAUGGACAUAGGAAAUUCCCGCCUAAUCUGUGCCAUCACCACCUCACUCCACCGCACUCUUGAGCAAGCAUAUCACGCUCGUGCGUGUGUGGGAAUCUGCCCAACGAGUCCCUGUUAUCAGCUGGGGUAGCCUGCAGUGCUCGCUCCGCUGUGUCAUGGUGCUGUGCGCCGGGGACGUUGGACUCAUUAUUAUCAUCUUAUCAGUACCCAGUGUCACCACCGGUUCAUACUCCACGUGCUCUUUCAUAAUCACGUGAGGAGGAUGUUUGGUUGAUCUUCAGUCAACUGCCGCAUUCAGUGUCUGUAUGUAUGGGAGAGGUGUGCUUGGGAAGGUCGGUCUGAUACUGCCGUCUUGUCCUCUGGAACGACAUGGAGUUCCCAAUCAACAACGUAGGAAGCGGUUUCCCUGCCGGUACUCUGAACUACACCGUAUCCAUGCAGCAGUGUGUCAAGUACUCCUGCAUCGGCGUGGUCUGCCUUGCCCUAAAUUAUUGCUGGUUGAAGUAUGAUACUCACCUCACCGUAAGUUACACACCAUAUGUAGAAGUCAACACCUUCUACUGGUUCACACAAUGUAACUGAUGCAGAGGUCAGCCUACUCCUCACAAUGGGCCAGGACGCAUGUCAUCACCGCUAAUGUAUCAACCUUGCCACCCACCCUUCACACACUCAUACAGUGAUGUUUACGUCAGCCGAGAGACACAUAAGUCUAAACUAAAGCAUACGUUGAUUGCCAAAAGUUUAUAUCCUUAAGAGACACAUAUGAAAUGAUUGACUGACGUCCAAUUGCAAAAAUUACUGCGGAGGAAGACGUCUGGGAACUAUGAAUCCAUGCAGAGAACAUUUUUGCAUAUUCCACAACUAGCUCAUUCAUGUGAAGCUGAUAAACUGAGAACCACUCAACAAAAUGAAUAGAGAGCGUACUAGGAUGAUGCUUACAGUGCAAUGAAAAUGCUGGAAAAUUUGUUCCAUCAUUUGCUUCGCUGUGAAAUUAAGAGUUGGUGUGUUGUUAGUCUUCUUGAUCAUCACGAAAAUUUGCCUUCAAACUAAUUAAUUAGCUCUCAGUCUGUCUGUUUGUCUAUCUGUCUGUCUAUAUGUCUGUCUGUCUGCCUGUACUAGACCCACUUACCCUAGGGGUAUACUCGACCCACUCACCAGGGGGUCUACUCGACCCACUCACCAGGGGGAUCUACUCGACCCAUUCACCAGGGGGGGGGGGGGUGUACUCGACCCGCUCACCGGGGGUGUGGUGAAUUCACUUGUGAGAUUCAUAUUUAUUUAAUUUAUUUCAAUUUACUGUGUACAGUAAUUUAUAUUUUACAUUAAUUUAUAUAGUAAUUUUUAUUUACAUUAAUUUAUAUUUUCGGUAGCAAACUGUUUGUUGCUUGAAGUGGACUGUAUUUUUUAAAAUGUCUCACAAAUCACUUUCCUCACUCAUUCUGGGGGGUUCUUAGUUUAUAUGUAGUUAAUCAAAAUUAUUGAUUAGUAGACAUUCACUACAGUAUUAGACUACAUAUUAUUAACUAAAAUGGGAUUAUCUUAACUAAAAUUAUCUUAUUGUUGUUAUUUCCUACACAACCAGUAUGAACACGAAUGAUUAAACCUGUCGAUACACUGUGGGUGUGGCUGGCUCCCAACUUAUGUACUGGUGAACUAGGUAACUAGUGUUAAUUCUUGUUCCUCUUCUGUUCCACGAGUCAAAGGGCACUCACAAAUAAAAGCAUUAAGCCUAAUAUGACAGCUAUAUCAGGGGGAAACAUUGGUAUAUUGAUUAUGAGAUAAGGACCAAGGAAUAUUUACCUUGUUUUUGUGUCUCAUUUGCAUUCUAACCGGCUCACCGUAUAAGUACCUAUAAUAUUUCAGAUUAGGAAUGAAACAGCUAAUAAACAAGUUUCGGAAAGAACACCUCCCUUACUGUAGACGAUGCAUGUUCAUAACGGGAUGGUUUAGUCUUGUAACACUGGUGUCCAAGGAAAAUUUCUGUGGAACUUGAAGUGAGCUCCACUCGAGACUUUGUUGAUAAAUUUACUGCCUGCCUAAGGCCAGCCUCCCAUUGACGCAUCCUGGUUCUCUUAUCCCGAUGUCAAAAGUGGUUAAAUGGCCUACAUUUACUGUAGGUAUUUUUGGUACUACAGUUUGGUUCUGAUAAUUUAUUUGAUUCAUGGGAAAUGUUGUUAUGAUGUUUACAGUCCAGAGACUGCUGUAUUAAGAAUAAUUCCCAACAGAAUUAGCUGGUGAAUUUCAUAGCAACAUGGCAAUGAUAUCCCCCGUUUUCUAUUGAGGAAAAUUCCACUGUGCUUCAUUUGAUAUGAGUUAAUUUAUUUAUACAAUCCAGCAGCUAUUAUCUGCCUUUUGUAUUAAAUAUAAGUAAAUGGUGUUGGGUUUUACGACAUAAUUCCCCGAGGACCGAACACAGGCUGAAGUCCAUUACUUAGGACUGACGAGCACCGAUACUCCUCCUUCUAAUUAUUAGAUUAAUUUUGAUGUUAGUAGUUAGUAAUCACACAUUUUGUGUGGCAGUUUGUAAAGGACAGAUGUCCCGUACAAGAACUGUAGGGGUUGGUAGUCUUGUGACGAUUUCAUUCCCGGCUAACUCUUGUGAGGCUAAAAUUCUAACCUAAGUACAAUAUAUUUAACCCUGAGAACUGAAUAUGAACAAUUACUACAGUCAAGUAUAAUUCUGGGACUGGAGUGAGAACAGUGACAUUAGUUAUAUUAACUUAAAGGUUGUUCAGGUUACUGGUCACUGAUAUUUAUACACUGAGGCCCAUGAUUAGGCCCUGGAUUAAAUAAUAAAUGUAUCAAAAUCAGUCAUCGGAUUUAUAUAGUCAGUCAUGCUCCCCUGUGCUUAUUUGCUGGAGUUUAUUUGGCUGACAAAUUGAAUUUAAUUUUGUUAUUUGAUUCAGAGGAUUGAAUAGUCAAUCAUUAAAGUCAAGUAUGGUUCUGAGACUGCAUGGAGUUCAAUGACUUUGGUCACAGUGACUUAUAGGUUGUUUAGGCUACUGUUCACUGAUUUGCCAAUGAGGCCUCAUGAACACAUCAUCAGCUUUAAAUGAUGAUCAACAGAUCAUCAUUUAAAUCAUGACCAACAGAGAUUGAUCAAGAUCAACCUCUGUUGUUAUUGUCAACUGUAUUAUCCUUAGUAUAAUGCUACUGGAGUUGUAUAAUCAGCUGACAAGCUUAGAUUUCUACUGGUAUUGUUUGAUUGCAGGAAUAGGUCUCCUAAGGGUAAAUACUGGAGCUGUGAGUAAUUUGCCUCCUGCAGAAUUUAGCAUGGUUAUACCCUGAUAUUUAGUUAGGCUACCGAUGAAUUGGUGGUAGUAGAAGUCUGCACCUACAAGGAUUCUGAUGUCGGUGAGGUGAUCAGACUUAAUUUUAGCUGCCAAUUUUAUUUCCCAUAUUUCUCAGGAAAUUGGCAGUAGCGCCUAGACCUUGUACAUUUAGGUCGGUUGGAAUUGUGUCCACUACAAUGGCUUGUACUUGACAGACGUAGCUGCCUAAUCUUACUGAUGUUUGAACCACCGGGUAGACCUGAGGUCCUGUCUCAACUAAGAACCCUGAAAUAUUCAAUGUCCCUUGAUUACAGUCUUUAAUUGUAGAUCAUCUGCCACUUUUUAGUGAGAAAUGUUCUUUGGGACGCUUGGUUAAACAACCCACGAGUAUGGACCCUGGCCCUCUUAUUCUGGAUGGUAAUUUAGGCAGUAGGCAAAAUCACAUUACGUUUGGACUCUGCCGAUUGGACACUGACUUUAUGUCGCACCUUUCAGUGUUGUUCUGUGGUGGGAAUGUUAUCUUCCACCUUGGGUUUGGAACACGUUAAUUUAUUAAGUUUGCACAGUGCUGCAUGGUGCUUAACUUUUCUACACCUAUUGCAGGUGUAAAGUUAGAUCUCACAACGCUCGAAGUUGUGUGAUUUGAGACACCUUGGGCAUUUCCUUAAUAUCAGGUGUCGCUCAAUACGAGUGUCUGUCAGGAUAAUUGGUGCAACAGUGUGUUGAAUGUUUCUCUUUGCAGAGCAAACAUUUUCCCCAGCCUACUGCAAGCUUGAAUGUUACCGGUUUGGGUUAACUAGUAACAGUAGGCUUGGAGGAUUCUGCUGCAUAAGUGCUCUCACUGCCAGAUUUUCUCUACCUUGGUGUGGAAGUUCUUUUUUCUUCUUUUUAUUGAUAAAGUACAUUAAAUACACAUAAAAACACCCUGGAAAAUUUGAACAAGCAGUGAUCCAUAAAGUACAUAACAACACAUGAGAACAACAGAGAAAGGAAACACAAAACUGAAAACAAAACAAGCAUAUAACAGGAAACAUGAAAAAAACAGAAAUGAUAUGGUACAAAAUAACAAUUACAAAACUAGAUACACAAGCCAGCCUGAAGGGCCACAUAAGCAGGACAAAAAACCAAGACAGACAGGAAUUCAUAACCAGAACACGCAGGGACCGGGAAAGAACAUAAAGAAAUGACAACCACACAUGCAAAACAUAAACAAAACAAAACAAGCACCGGAACAUGCAGGAACCGGCCAACACACAUGCAAAUACAAACACAUACCCAACAGCCCUAGAAACUACACAAACAAAAGAACACAAAGCACACACAGGACACAAACAGCACAGUACAACCAAAAAAAUGCAUACGGAACACACAAACAAGCACAUCACCCAACAGGGCGAAACCUAACACGUAGACAAAACAUACAUAGAACCGCAGAAACGGUAACAAAAUCACAGACAGGGAGUUUACACUCAAACACCGGCACAAUCGAUACUUGUCCGGAAACUCCUGUGUCGGGAAGCACAAGCAGUACUCUUCCCAAACCAGCUGGACGUCUUCGGACACCGGUCUACCAGGAGACGCACAAAGCCGAGGCAUCCAAUCAGGUAGUAGUAGUAGGCCUCCUUCAUUCUCGGAAGACUAUGGAGUUGCGCCCUAACAGGGCGCAAAGCCUGGGUAGGUAGAUAUGGAGGAGAAGCUGUUACCCAUGCAGCAGGU